AAGCCGAGUUCCCCUCUGCCUUGCGCGCUUCCCCGCCUACCCCGAGCGGCUCAGGUGUCCUGUCGUGCUCACCUGCGCCGGUCGCUGGACCGCGGGGCGCUAACCCUGGAGAGCCCAGGAGCGGGCGGGACAUGAGACGGGAUCUCACUAUGCAGCCCAGGCUGGUCGCCAACUCCUGGCCCUAAGCAAUCCUCGCACCUGAGCCUCUCAAAGUACUGGGAUUGCAGGCAUGAGCCACCAGCCUUAGCUUAAUGAUGUUUUCAGAUUUUUCAGUGUUUCCCCACCCUCAUACCUGCCGUUUCUCAGUAAUUCUUUGUAAGUCUCUGGCAGAGGCCGUCAUUGCGCUUUGCUCCCUGUUGGGAAGGUACUCACGGCAUUGAGUGUACUGCACUUUUUCAUACUGUUGGUCACCUCUCACAAGGACAUAAGCUCUGUGUGGCUCAGUUCCCCAGGCUGUCAGCCUCACCCCUCUUCCUGCGCACAUGGGGGAGGCGGUGCCUUUGCUGAAGUGGGAUGUGUGGAAUGUUUUAGGACUGCGUGAUCUUUGAG
rnacentral:lncRNA from 10 species